UUGAACGCUGGCGGCAGGCCUCACACAUGCAAGUCGAACGGUAACAGGAAGCAGCUUGCUGUUUCGCUGACGAGUGGCGGACGGGUGAGUAAUGUCUGGGAAACUGCCUGAUGGAGGGGGAUAACUACUGGAAACGGUAGCUAAUACCGCAUAACGUCGCAAGACCAAAGAGGGGGACCUUCGGGCCUCUUGCCAUCGGAUGUGCCCAGAUGGGAUUAGCUAGUAGGUGGGGUAACGGCUCACCUAGGCGACGAUCCCUAGCUGGUCUGAGAGGAUGACCAGCCACACUGGAACUGAGACACGGUCCAGACUCCUACGGGAGGCAGCAGUGGGGAAUAUUGCACAAUGGGCGCAAGCCUGAUGCAGCCAUGCCGCGUGUAUGAAGAAGGCCUUCGGGUUGUAAAGUACUUUCAGCGGGGAGGAAGGGAGUAAAGUUAAUACCUUUGCUCAUUGACGUUACCCGCAGAAGAAGCACCGGCUAACUCCGUG
rnacentral:rRNA from 1 species